GGCGUAGCUCAGUGGUAGAGGAGCUGCUUAGCAUGCAGAGGGUCGCCGGUUCAAUUCCUGGCAUCUCCA